rnacentral:lncRNA from 1 species
GCCAAGCCAUUUUUGCUUUGCUUUGAAGACUCGGAAUCCACGACCUGCAUAAUAAAAUCGGUUCCAUGGUAAGUUUCAUGACAGCAACAACCUGUAGCAUCCUGCAAAGCGCCAGAUGCAUACCAACGACUUUGCUUUCCCAACAAUUCGUGUCGUAUAUCACCUGCAAACAUCUUCCAAACCAGUUGGAUAGAGAACUAGCGGUUCAUUCCAAUAGUUUGUUCACCAACAUUUUGAUUUAACACGAAAUCGAUUCAUCAUCGCAGAAGCUAACAUUCAUAUAGCCGCAUCUAAUCAUUCAUUCCUUAGCUACCACAUAA